UAAACAUAACAUUUAUUUUUUUUUAAAAAAAAUUAAAGAUUUAGAAAACCCAAAACCUUUUUUCAAGACCCCUUUUUCUUUAAAAACAUUUUACCCUUUUUUUUUUUAAAAAAAAAAACCCUAAAAUUCUCUCUUCUCCCUCACUUCCUAGCCGAAGGACUAAAACCCAGAUCUCAUUCGCUGCCUCAUGCGCGGCCGUAAAUAGCCAUCGGAAGGCCGAAGUUUUCCCUCUUUUGCCAGCGACUCGAAAGAUACGUCUCUCCCUUUUAUAAAAUAUUAGUUUGUAUUUCGUAGACUCAAAUGAAAAUGGAAAAAAAAAGAAAAACGGAAUAAAAUAAUGAUUAACAACCACCUUUUGAAGUGUAUUCGUUUGGCUGAUCUCUUAUUGAUUUUUCUAUGUAUAUUUUUUAUUAAAAAAUUGUCCCUUUUACAAUGAAAAACGAAGGCUUUAUAGCCAAAAUACAAACAGUUUCUGCCUAUUUCUUUGCUCAAGUCGCAAGUGCUGUGAAAUCGUGGAGGAAGAGUGCAUGAUCGUGCAACGUGCGAGCUAAGAACCCGUUCGUGGGUGUUGAAGCGUGGGAGUUGCGGAGUAGGUAAAUGGAACCCUAGGGUUUGCUAUUUUUUGAAAAAAUUUGGGUCAUUGGGCUUGUAAUCGGGCCUUUUAAUUUUAGUGAUUUGAGUCUGUAUCUUGGGCCGGGCAAAAUUUGGGCCCUACACACAAAUUUGUUGAAACUUGUCAUCGUUACAAGUUAGCGAGUAAUGAAUCAAUUGACCUUCGUUUUAUCAUUUUCAUUGUCUAAAGCAUUAAGGACGAAAUUAUAUUAGUUUUUUUAAUUGAUAAUUUAAAUUUAGUUUAUAAACAAUUUAUUUUGGAAUUUGCACAAAUAAUUUUCGACUUUAUUAGAUUAGUAAUUGCUUAACUUGCAAUUAACUUGAUAAGCACAUUUACCAAUUUGGCAAUCCCUUGGGUUCGAUCUUUGGAAUACUUGAAGUGUUUUAUUGUAACACUUAUAAAUAUUACAAAUGAUCUGUCACACUUGUAGUAAGCUUGUAAAUGUUAUGUUUUGGCUCGAAGCUAGGUACAAUGAUGGAUCGAGUUAAGAAUUAGUGGAGAAUUUUUUAAAUAGAACAAAUAGAAAAUUUAAGUGUGAAAUUAGAAAGUAUUUAGACUCGAUAGGGAAUUAGAUAAUACUCCUUAGAUAGGAAAAUUUUGAAUAGAAGCAUUGACUAAAUUGAAAGAGUAUAGAAAUUAUUGUGGUGAAAGUAUGAAAUUAGAAAGUUAUGAGAAAACAUGAAAAAUGUGGAAAAACAAGGAAGGACUAAUAGGAAAUUUUACCAAACAAAAAUAUGAUUCAUACAUAGAAUUGUAAAGAUGAUUAAAGGUAAAAUGGUAAUUGGCUAAGUAGAUAUUUAUAGGCCUAAUGAUUAGGGGUUAAAGUGUAAAGAUGGAUAGUUAGAGGACUUAUUAGUAAUUCGACAAUUUUAAGUGAAAAUCAUUUAAUUUUUUUUGCAGAACUGUGUAGAAAAAGUGAAGAAAAGAUGAAAUAUUCUUCAUCUUUUUAGAAUUCAAAUGUCACAUCCAUUUUAUGGUUACCAAACUUUCUUUUUUAUUCUAUUUAAGUCCUUCCACCGUUGUUGACCAAAUCUAAGCUCAAAAUAUUCCUUUCCUUUGGUGUUUCUUUAGUAAAAACAAUAGAGAAGACUAGUGGGUACCUUAGUUUUAGGAAAGGAAUCUACAUAGAAGUGAUAAAGGAGAGAAAAAGUAAGAAUUAGGUUUUCAAUUUCAAAGGGUUAAGGUAAGAGAUGAUGAAACUUUCAUGCCAUACGUGUUUAUUUCUAUUAAAUAACAUAGAAAAAUUACUUGAUUAUGGUGCCCACUUUUCAGAUUAGCAUUAUGGUGCCCACUGUUCUAUUAUCACACUUCGGUGCACCAUUGUUAUGUUCUUCAGUGCAAUUUUACAUUUAUUUUGUAUGUCCUAAUUUGUUCUGUUAAGCCUACAUUGGGCAAGGAUAAAAAAUGUGGUCUACAAUAGUAGCUUUGCAUAAUAAGGUAAGUAUUGAAAUUAAAAAGAGGUGAUUAUUGUUAAUUAUAAGUAUAAAUUAUUGUAUAGAAGUGUAAUAUAGGUCUGUUAUUGAAAUUUGGAAAUUUUAUUGUUUAAAGAUUUCUUGUAGUACUAAGUCUUCACAGACAUAAUGCAUUUAUUUUCAACACGUAGGUAUAGUGGCAUCCGAUGAGUCGUAGUUGAGGUCCUAGGCUUCUCAUCUCAUCGCAUCCUUUAGUUCCAAGAGAGUAUGUAUUAUAUUUUGAGUUAGAAUUACAUGUACAUAGGUAAACUGAAUGUGUUCCAAGUGGUAGGGACUAAAUUGCAAACUUUUAAGAACUUAACUUAUUUUGGUAUUUUAAUGAACUACUUUUGUAUUAGUUGAAAUGAAUUGUGAAGAGUUUAAAUGUAUGCAUGCAUAUGUGGUUGAAUUAGAAUUGUUUUAAAUCGAUUUAAACUGCUUUGGAAUUGGUUUUUAAGUUUGAAAUGGUACAAACUAUUUGCAGGGGGUUUUAAACAAAAUUUCCAAAUGUUUUUGAGCAAAAUUGACCCAAGGUAUCAAUACCAAGGAUCUGGUAUUGAUACUUGGUGUUUGGAAUUGAGUUUUUCAGAAACAGAAUGCCAAUUUGGUAUCGGUGCCCAAGCCAAGAUAUUGAUACAUUGGCAAUAGGUAUCGAUACCUACAUGAAAUUUUUGAAAAAGUUGAGUUCUAGAAUCCGAUUUUGGUAUCAAUACUUAUUAGGGGUACAAAUACCUUGUUAUAGGUAUCAAUACCUUUGAUUUUGGUACAGAUGCUUGCCCUUUAUUUUGAAUAAAAAAUUUAUUCUAUUUACUUCUAAGCAAAAUCGGUUAACUGACAAAGUUUCCAAACAUCGAUAAUGAUAUUAAUAAGUUGUAAAGGCUAAAAUUUAGUCAUAAAAUAUUCAAGUUACCUAGUGUUUAGCCAAGAGCGUUUUGGCACCAAAUGUAAUAGUUCUAUACUGGGUCCCGAAGGUCAGAUUUGGUAUAGGGGUGUUACAAAGCCACUUUUAAAUUCUUAAAUUGUGUGUUGAUUCUUAGCCCUAGUGCAUGCACGUCGGCGCACGACCAACUCAUCACUCAAGAUUUCAAUCACAUUAUUGGUGUUAUCACUAGAUGAGUUGUGUGAGUUUGUCUCGAGAGUUCAUCUUUAUCGACCACGAGGUUAACAAUUAAGUUUUGUAUGUUGCACGAGAUAACCAUCCACAAUUGGUGGCCGACAAUUUAUAAAUCCUCUGUUAACAAGCCACUAGCUCGACUUCUCUAUAUAGUGGGCCAAGGGGUGCGUUUCAACCUUGGGGACUUUAUCUUUAAGCAAGUGGUAACAUGCUGAGUCCGUGUUGAACCGAUUUUGGAGCACAAAAUCUCCAGCAGACUGUUUAAACCAAGUCGAAUGAAUGACUUGGUACUAAGAGAGUUUAUUCCACCCUCUGUUGCAAUAGGAGAAGCUAGUGGAACUCAAAGUGCUAUCGCGACUCAAAAGGCAAGGACUUGGAGCAUUCGACAUGGUAAAAGGGGGAGGUUCGACAUUUUGUCAAAAAGGGGAAGAGAGUCUGGUUCUUGAUGAUAGCUAUUGGUUACUCGUGUGUUUGAAUGCUACUGUUGUGGAUAAAGACUGGAUGUUUUUUAUUUGAACUUUAUAGCGUAUGCAAUUGUUGGAUUUUGCUACUUUUGAAUUUGUUUUAAUACUUGGAAUUGUUGUGUUGAAA